rnacentral:lncRNA from 1 species
GUGACUCGAAGAAGCCUUCCAAAAAGCGUGUGAAAAGGGAGCCCUCCUCUACUACCAAGGUGACUUCAGGGAGCACAUUCAAUGGUACGUAUUCUGGAAUCACUCACUGGUUGUUAGAAAGGAUUCUAUAGGAAAUCUGGAGCUUAACUGCUGGCUUUUGUCUGGAGAGCCUCCAUGAUCCAAGACAUCUGGUGGGAAUGAGGAUGUGGGUAUAGUAAAGGAAACUGGUUUUCCAGGUGACAUACUCUUUUAUCUAUGUAUAGUUUCUGGGAAUGUGUCACAUUAGGUUGUGUGUGGGUAUGUGUGUAUUAGGGCGGGGGUGGGUGAGGUGGUCUGUGUGCACAUCUGCAUGAUUUGCUUGUGAAUGUGUGUCUAUGUGUGUUUCCCCCAGGAAAAAAAUGUUGUGUUUACCCAGCACAACUCUCAGUGCCAUU